UACGUAGGGUGCGAGCGUUGUCCGGAUUUAUUGGGCGUAAAGAGCUCGUAGGCGGUUUGUCGCGUCGGCCGUGAAAACUUGGGGCUUAACCCCAAGCUUGCGGUCGAUACGGGCAGACUUGAGUUCGGCAGGGGAGACUGGAAUUCCUGGUGUAGCGGUGAAAUGCGCAGAUAUCAGGAGGAACACCGGUGGCGAAGGCGGGUCUCUGGGCCGACACUGACGCUGAGGAGCGAAAGCGUGGGGAGCGAACAGG
rnacentral:rRNA from 1 species